rnacentral:rRNA from 1 species
UACGUAGGGUGCGGGCGUUACUCGGAAUUACUGGGCGUAAAGCGUGCGCAGGCGGCCUCUUAAGUCAGAUGUGAAAUCCCCGGGCUUAACCUGGGAACUGCGUUUGAAACUGGGAGGCUAGAGUGUGGAAGAGGGGGGUGGAAUUCCAGGUGUAGCAGUGAAAUGCGUAGAGAUCUGGAGGAACACCGAUGGCGAAGGCAGCCCCCUGGGCUAACACUGACGCUCAUGCACGAAAGCGUGGGGAGCAAACAGG